ACUGUGUUGUUUCUUUGCUAUUUUCACUGAACAUUUCCCAAAAUAUUAGAAAAAAAUUCUGAACAAGCUACAUUGAUUCAAUUUUCGUUGUUCGUUUUGUUCUUAUUCGCUGACAUUUGUUUUCCAAUUGCGUGAAAUUUGGUCAUUUCCUUAGUGUUUCGCUGACCGACCUGUGCUGGUAUUGUGAUUAAGAGCUAAUACACAUUUUUCGGACGAUUCUGCUGUGCUGCGUUCCUGCUCCGCCUGUAUAUUGCUCCGCCCGUAUUUUAUAGUGUUGCGUUCCUGUUGCGCCUUUGCAUUAGUGUGUGCGUUGUGAUUUAGACACGUUGAAAUUUUUUGUAUGCUUCUGCUGUGCUGCGUUCCUGCUCCACCCGUGUAUUAGAUUGCUGCGUUCCUGUUAACAUACAUAUCGUCGCUUAAAGUACAAAACC